GAGAACCAUAGAAUGAUCCCAAUUAUUUAAAACAGAUAUUUUCACACUCCUACAUUGUAAGUAUUCAAAGGAAUAAUGAAGAUAAUAUAGCCUAAUAAAUUGAAAGACAAUCGUCGAAUUUAUUCAGGAAAAUUUGUACUACAAUCAACAAACUAACUAAUGUCCGUCGCCAGGGCUCGGACCGGAUUUCUUGAUCUCUCUGAGAGUAAAAGCAUUGCUUGAUCCAUGUCCCUUACCUCCAGAAUUAAGGCCUCCUGCCUUUAGAUCUUCAACAUAUAAAUCCUCUAAAAUUUUCUCAAUUUCAAUGUCAAUUGAAUCAUAAUGAUUUUCUGUACUUAUGCUGAGAGGACGGGCUUCAAAUAAAGAGAUAAAAAGGAGAAGAGAAAUGAAGAAGGUAAGAUAUUUUCGAAUUGCAGCCAUAAGAAUAAAUUUUUAGGGUUUUGGAUGCAGGGAAAUUAUUAUUUUGUGAAUUUUAGAAGCUAAAUUGUGUUAAAAUAGAGGCUGUGAUUCAUGUGUAUAUAUAGU
rnacentral:lncRNA from 1 species